AUACGGAGGGUGCGAGCGUUAAUCGGAAUUACUGGGCGUAAAACGUACGUAGGCGGUUUGCUAAGUCAGAUGUGAAAGCCCCGGGCUUAACCUGGGAACUGCAUUUGAUACUGGCAGACUAGAGUAUGAUAGAGGGGGGUAGAAUUCCUGGUGUAGCGGUGAAAUGCGUAGAUAUCAGGAGGAAUACCAGUGGCGAAGGCGGCCCCCUGGAUCAAUACUGACGCUGAGGUACGAAAGCGUGGGGAGCGAACAGGAUUAGAAACCCUAGUAGUCC
rnacentral:rRNA from 1 species